UGAGGAAUAUUGGUCAAUGGGCGGUAGCCUGAACCAGCCAAGUCGCGUGAGGGAAGACGGCCCUAUGGUUGUAAACCUCUUUGUCGGGGAGCAAGACGGUGUACGUGACGCCGUCUGAGAGUACCCGAAGAAAAAGCAUCGGCUAACUCCGU
rnacentral:rRNA from 1 species